UUGGUGUCUACUGCCGCUGCGCGUUACACCUGCCUGUCCCGUGUGCUCCGCUCUCGCUGACUUUGAAUCGGCGGCGCGCGUUCCGUUUUGUCACCUCGACACCGCCGCAAGUGUUACCGAGUUCCUUUGAAUCCCAACGGCGAGACGGACCAUGUCCACGUCCGUCACCGUAUCGAUCAGCCUGCGCAUUUAUCCGGUCGCCAUUUUGCCGACCUUGAGCACCGUUUCCUCGAACUCCGCGCUAUAGAUAUCUCGGAUCUCUCGCCCUUCCACGUAGCCCACAAUGACAAGUGACAUAAUGAUCGGUGUGCACCUGUGUCUGUCCGUGUGUUCUACCGAUGUGCCGUCUACCAAGUGUCUCCGCAGUUCUGCUGGUUCGCCCAAAUAUGUGACCAUUCGCAGAAGAAACGCGUACACGUCGAUCAGCCGCCAUUUUGGUGACCGUGUACCACGCUGUUCGCUGUUCGGAGUGAAGCAAUCCUCGCUGAAAUUGUGAAUUAUUGCCUUUUCGUCGUACCGCAGUCGUACGAACCUCGUGAAACUGCUUUCUGAACGGCAUUCUGGUAACUAUGACAUUACUAAACGGUUGAUAGAAGCGCCAGGAGACGUGUGUCGUCGUCCACGAUCUUUAAAAUCCGGUGGUGUUGCUCCAUUUAUCUAUUGCCUGCCUUCUAAUUACUACGCCACUACCUUCCUCCACGGCCCGUUUUAUGCCGCAGACAAAUUCUUCUGCACCUCCGACAUGCCUCGGGCACGGACAUCACUGUCACGGGAGAUUUAUACCCGUUGGAAAGAACGGUGCCCGCGCGGGCGUAGCUUGCUGUUCACUUCGGUGCUUAAAAACCUUGUUCCUUUAUUUCUGAGACAAAACGUCUCUCGGCCUAGUGAACCGAAAGCUGUUUGCUUUGACGGUGCAUGGAACGCGACUGCCUCGAGAACGACUCGACGCGUCGCGUCGGAGCGUUCGCAAAACCGCGCGGGUUUCGCUAGAAACUGAAGGCGAGCGGUUUGGGAUUCCGCGGUUUCUCGCUCGGCGAACGGAAUUGCCGGAGCCGUCGGAUCCUUAUUGAUGCCGGGGAUAUCUAUCGCUCCCGGGCUUGCUGGACCAACGAUGAAAAAGGGGGAGAAGGAGGCAAUAAAACCGCAAGGGCGAAAAGGACGGAGGUAAAUAACGGUGGAGGAGGCGUGGUUGGCGCGAUGCGGCGCCCUCAAAGCACGAUCGCCCCUCGAGGGUACACCUUUUAAGAGUUCGAGGUACGAGGACCGUCGAAACUGGGAGCCCCGGAGAUAAGAUCCUCCUAGUUAUCGAACGGACUCCCGUUCACGAUCGAUGUACCAGAACCCGUCCACGGGUUUCGAUGUUCCCGCAGGCGAGCCGUUCCUUCCACCUUUUGAUUUCAUUGUGCCGUUGAAACGUGGCCUUGGCCGGCCACAAGGACGCUUCUUUUAUAAAAUUGCCGGCCGAGCGUCGGCCGGCUUUUCUUCGAACUCCGCCAUUGCGAAAUGUUUCAGCCUGCCCGACGCGACGGUAGACAUUCUUCCAGAUCCUAUCGGUCCGCAUCUCGCGUAUCUCGAUUUUUAGCGUGGGCGAGGAACGUAGAUUUCCGACGUCGAUACCCAAAGCUGAAGGGGAAAGGGCUAGCUCCGCCGGAUCGUUGAUGCGUUUCCUCGAAAUCGGACGGAACGCUAGAUAAUUCUGGAGGAAACGGAGUAUCUACGGACAUAAGUCGCCUCCAGACAUCUAAAUGGCUACCUUCGUGCUAGACCGAGAGAGAGAGAGAGAGAGAGAGAGAGAGAGAGAGAGAGAGAGAGAGCCGCUAACGACAAUACGAUGACCCCGAAGCUGCGGAAACAAAGACCGGGUCGCAAGCAUAGAGGAAUACACAACGUUUCAGCCGGGGCUCGUCGCCAUCAACCGUUCCUCGGCCCUCGACUACGCGACGGACGGAGGCCUUGACCUGAUCCAGCGAAGGUGAAUCAAGAGGACAGCCAACGAAUUCCAAGUUUGAGUCACUUAUUUAGAUGUUAUUCGUCUGCACCGUGACAAUAAAGUUGUUGAUCUUCUUCACGCCAA